UUUCCGUAGGUGAACCUGCGGAAGGAUCAUUAUUGGAUUUUGAAACUUCAGGCUGCUGCUGGCUCUCCUCGGAGGGCAUGUGCACGCUUGUUGUCCAUUAUUUCUCCCACUGUGCACAAAUUGUAGACCUUUCAGUAGGCCUAUGUUGUUUUUCACAAUCUCUGAAUGUAAUAGAAUGGUUUUGAAUCUUGGGAAAUACAACACAACUUUCAGCAACGGAUCUCUUGGCUCUC
rnacentral:misc_RNA from 1 species